UACGUAGGUGGCGAGCGUUGUCCGGAUUUACUGGGCGUAAAGGGAGCGUAGGCGGGCUUUUAAGUGAGAUGUGAAAUACUCGGGCUCAACUUGAGUGCUGCAUUUCAAACUGGAAGUCUAGAGUGCAGGAGAGGAGAAUGGAAUUCCUAGUGUAGCGGUGAAAUGCGUAGAGAUUAGGAAGAGCACCAGUGGCGAAGGCGAUUCUCUGGACUGUAACUGACGCUGAGGCUCGAAAGCGUGGGGAGCAAACAGG
rnacentral:rRNA from 1 species